CCUCAGAUAUCACCUCCAAUCAGACAUUAGUGAGGCAAAGAGGGGGCUGCUUACAGAUCUCGCAACACAUCACCCUGGAUGAUCUUGGCUGGCAGAAUUGGGUGCUGAGCCCCACUUCCUUCACCUUCACCGAAUGCCUGGGGUGCCAUUGCCACCGAAUCAAAGAAGACACGCAGCUGGAUCUCUGGAUUCUGGCCUGCGGCCUCCAGGAGCCAAGCCACCAAGGCCAGGUGGAUGCCCAACAGAGACGCUGCUGUCGACCCCGAAAAACCCCACUCCCCUUUCUCUUCCUGAAAGAAGACGGCUCCUUGAAUCUCCAGACGGUCCGCCUGGCCCACGAUUGUCACUGCUGACCCUGAGCUGAGACACACACACACACCCGAGACCCUCACCCAGCCCCCCCUGCACGGGGAGAGGGGGUACGGUCAGCAAGCAUCCCCUCUCUUGUCAGGGAGAGCAUCGCUGGGGAGGGAAGGCAAAAACAAACUUUUUCAAUGUUGUUGUCACCUUUUUAAACACACAAAAGUAGUCCUUGGGGCGGGCUGCGAGAGCCCCUUUUCUACAGCCCCCCCCCCAAUUGCAAACACCAGCACUGCUGCACCGCUAAACUGCUCGGAACAAGGUGUACUAGGCAUCCCGGGAGUUGUGGUUUGGAGAAGGCGGGUUGUGGAAGGUGGGUGCCAGCUUGCUUUAAGAGGGGUGGGCUUCAAC